AGGUUAUUUAUAAGUCAGUUUGAGUGCCGAAUCAUUCGUGCUGCAUCGGAAGAUCAUUUAGUCCAUGAGCUUGGGAAGGGGUGGACUGCAGGAGCAACUAGCUUCCUAUAUUGGACUCUCGGCCCUGAUGAGA